rnacentral:rRNA from 1 species
CGGGACAACAUUCCGAAAGGAGUGCUAAUACCGGAUGUGAUCAUCGUGCCGCAUGGCAGGAUGAAGAAAGAUGGCCUCUACAAGUAAGCUAUCGCUAAAGGAUGGGCCUGCGUCUGAUUAGCUAGUUGGUAGUGUAACGGACUACCAAGGCGAUGAUCAGUAGCCGGUCUGAGAGGAUGAACGGCCACAUUGGGACUGAGACACGGCCCAA